UUGCAUGUGGAAAUGUCUGCUCCUCAUUCCUUUGGAAGCAGGAAUACAUCCAUAACAUGCUACCUUAAAAAAGGAGUUCUCGGGGGCUUCCCUCGUGG
ensembl:snoRNA